rnacentral:rRNA from 1 species
GACGAACGCUGGCGGCGUGCUUAACACAUGCAAGUCGAACGGUAAGGCCCUUUGGGGUACACGAGUGGCGAACGGGUGAGUAACACGUGGGUGAUCUGCCCUGCACUUCGGGAUAAGCCUGGGAAACUGGGUCUAAUACCGGAUAGGACCACUGCCUGCAUGGGUGGUGGUGGAAAGCUUUUGCGGGGUGGGAUGUGCCCGCGGCCUAUCAGCUUGUUGGUGGGGUGAUGGCCUACCAAGGCGACGACGGGUAGCCGGCCGGAGAGGGUGCCCGGCCACACUGGGAAUGGGAUACGGCCCAGACUCCUACGGGAGGCAGCAGUGGGGAAUAUUGCUCGAUGGGCGCAAGCCUGAUGCAGCGACGCCGCGUGAGGGAUGACGGCCUUCGGGUUGUAAACCUCUUUCAGCACCGACGAAGCGCAAGUGACGGUAGGUGCAGAAGAAGGACCGGCCAACUACGUGCCAGCAGCCGCGGUAA